GGCAGCAGUAAGGAAUAUUCCACAAUGGGCGAAAGCCUGAUGGAGCGACGCCGCGUGCGGGACGAAGCCUUUCGGGGUGUAAACCGCUUUUAGAAGGGAUGACACGAGGCGUAGGCCUCUACGACAGUACCUUCUGAAUAAGCAUCGGCUAACUACGUGCCAGCAGCCGCGGUAAUACGUAGGAUGCAAGCGUUGUCCGGACUUACUGGGCGUAAAGCGCGCGCAGGCGGCAGGUUAAGUAAGGUGUGAAAUCUCCCUGCUCAACGGGGAGGGUGCACUCUAGACUGACCAGCUAGAGGGCGGUAGAGGGUGGUGGAAUUGCUGGUGUAGCGGUGAAAUGCGUAGAGAUCAGCAGGAACACCCGUGGCGAAGGCGGCCACCUGGGCCGCACCUGACGCUGAGGCGCGAAGGCUAGGGGAGCGAACGGGAUUAGAUACCCCGGUAGUCCUAGCAGUAAACGAUGUCCACUAGGUGUGGGGGGUAGUUGACCCCUUCCGUGCCGAAGCCAACGCAUUAAGUGGACCGCCUGGGGAGUACGGUCGCAAGACUAAAACUCAAAGGAAU
rnacentral:rRNA from 1 species